CUUGUAAUCUAAGGACUAGGUUUUUUUCAUAAGGCACAGUCAACAGUGAGACAUUCACAUGCAAACCAGGAGUCCUACCACAAUGGAGAUUGGUGACAUGAUUGAGAUGAACAGAGGUGCAUACAAACACUGGGCUCUGUACAUUGGAAAUGGAGUGGUCAUCCAUUUGGUAACUCCAGAUGGCCCUUCAAGAGUAGCUUUCUGCAGUGUUAGCUCCCCCAGCCUUUCCAGUAAAGGCACGAUUUUAAUAGAGAUGUUAAAGGAUGUGGCAGCAAGGAAUACUUACAGAAUCAACAACUACUUGGAUGGCAGAUGACUUCAUGAAGGAUUUGUUAUUUGCUCCUGGCCUGUUUGGUGUAUCGGCUGCUGUUGGUGCUUGUGCUUCUAGAGCUGCUGUAGCAAAGACAUCUAAAAAAUAAUUUAUUGGGUCUCAUGAGUCUAAAUCAAAUCAAAUCAAAUGUUAUUUGUCACAUACACGUGUUUAGCAGAUGUUAUUGCGGGUGUAGCGAAAUGCUUAUAUUCUAGCUCCGACAGUGCAGUAAUAUCUAACAAGUAAUAUCUAACAAUUUCCCAAUACACACAAAUUUAAGUAAGGAAUGGAAUUUAAGAAUAUAUACAUAUAUACAUAUUGCAAAGUUUCCUAAGAGCUAGUCGCGAGGCCGCCACCUUCGUCGGCACCAGGUAUGGAGAAUGUCAGUGAUGCAAAAUGUUGUUUAUGGCCCAAUGAAUAAAGGACCAUCUCAAAGAC